AGCUCAGUGGAGUUGCGCUUUCUCUCCCCAGACUCCUGUCCUCAUGUUGCUUGUCCCAAUCAGGCGGGUCUGGGUCUCCCAGGCGUGUCUGAAACCAAACUGCUCGGUGCACUCCUUCCUCUCUGCCCCCCACCUUCCCAGCUUCCUAAACAGCAGCUCGGAAUCCCGCACUUCAGCCCCGAUCCCUGGCCACUGCCUCCCGCCCAGCAGCAGGUCUCGCGGCUUUCCUUUCUACAUGCAGUCCGGCAGUUAGGCGAGCGGCUCCUCCUGGUGGUGGCGGCGGCUGGGCGGGGACUGCUGGCGGAGGGGCAGGUGCCAUUUCUCGGACUUGGUGCUCUUCGGCAGGUGGGUUUGGGCUAUAAGCUUCACCAGAGUGCACGCACGUAUACCAGUGAGCUUUUUUGUCGUAAUGCUGCUCAGCAGUCACGAGCUAAUGAAUGCGUGACUGUCGCACCUGUGUCCCUCCCAGCCAGCCCUGGGCUCAGGCCGUGUGGUGGUUUACCUGCACCAUCGCCGUCUCAGCUGGCUCCGCACCCCUGCGGUCCGGCUUCCCCAAGCAGGCUGGGGAAUCCGAUUUCAUCUCAGUUCAGAUUCUGUCUGUCUGUCCUGCAUUGCAAGCACUCCAGGGGUCUCUGCCUCACUCAGGGGCCCAUAGAUCCACCUGUCCCCCCUCAAAAAACUUGUGGACCCCUCUUCUCCUGUGCCCCACUUCCUCGAGGCAGCCGCGUGGGGCUCCUUGCCUGCUUGCAGCUCGCCACGCACGCUCUCAUCUCAGGCCUUCCCAGCUGCUCUUGCCUUUGCCAUAGAGCCACACGAGGCUCCGUCCGUUAUUUCCUUCUGGUCUGCCCAGUGCCGCUCUGCCAGGUAAGCCACCCUGAACACCCCGGGAGGAGGCGAUACCCACCCCACCCCCUCCCUGCGUAUUCCCCUCUGUGGCCGUUGGGGCCACGCACAUCCUUCACUGGUUCGUGUGCCACCGUCCGCACCCCCUCUGGGACCUGGGGUUUGGUCCCCUGCACUGUGCUGGUGCCUGGAAGGGAGUAG
rnacentral:lncRNA from 1 species